AUGUACGGUGACCUCCUGGGCCUCCUCGCCGCCCAUCAGGUGGCGCUGCUGGUGUUGCUGCACCACCUCGACAUAGUGCGGCCGCUGGUCCCCAACGUGCGUUCGCGCCCGGCGUCUCUGCGGAGUCUGUUCGACGGGGGUGAUGCAGCAGUCGAUAUCCUACAUCGCGGUGAACCAGUGGACGGUGUCAAUGGCGUAGGGGUUCGUGGUGACGGUGGCGAGAGCGUCGUGCUGGCGCGGGAGAUGGAGAUGCCAGCGCGGACGUUCAUGAACUGGUACCGGCGCGCGUGUUCAACACGAAGCCCCUGGCGCACAACCAGUGCAAGAGGCCCGCCGCGCUCUAUUACCUGGCGUCAUCGUGCUCGACAAGCCCGACCCCGAGUUAUGGGACCUGGUAAUGCUCCCUCUGCCUAUUUUAUGUGUCAGAAGGCUGCUGGACGAGUGAUCCAUUCACAGCGCUACGCUUCAAUACUUUACAGCUUCUUCAGUCUAAGUCAAAUGAUGGGUAACUGCCUAUAA
rnacentral:rRNA from 1 species